rnacentral:lncRNA from 1 species
GGGGAGAAACAGGGGACUCCGGGGGAGAGGGAGAACCAGGAUGGGGAUGGUGAACCAGAGGAUGAGGGGAAACAGGGGACCCGGGGGAGGGGGGGAAUCGGGAUGGGGAGAGGCAACCAGAGGAUGGGGGUAGACAGGGGACGGGGAGGGGGGAACCAGGAUGGAGAGGGACAACGGGGGGAUGGGGGAAACGGGGGACCGGGGGGAAGAGAGGGGAACCGGGAUGGGUAGGGACGGCCGGGGAAUGGGUGGGAACCCGGGGACGGGAGGGUUGAACCAGGAUGGGGGGAACCAGGUGACCGGUGUGUUGGACCAGGAUGGGGAGGCGGACCAGGAUAGGCGAGGAACCAGGGGACCGGAGGUGGCGGAGGAUUGAAGCGGGAGCAGGGGAAACCAGGGGACCAGGGCGGGUUGGACCACGAUAGGGAGGGCGAAUGAAUCUGGGGCGGAGGAGGAGGAGAAGCGGGUGGCGGGGGUGGGGGGUGGGGGGCGAACCAGGGAACGGUGGUGAGCCGAUCAAGGACGGGGGCGGGUGGCUCCGGCCCAGUCCGGCCCACCGGGCUUCCAAAGGGGAAGGUGCGGCCUCCGCUCUGGGCCUGGCGGCCGGUCGCCUUCUCCACCUUGUCCGUCCUCGCGUGACCGAGGGAGGACUGGCCGCCGGGGGACCGCCCCUGGAAUGCGACCGUGUGGGCGACUGAGUUCUUCCAUGGCCUUUGGAGCUGUUCAAGCCAAACUGAGGUGGCGAUGAGGCUCAUCAAGCCCCAUACCGAGCUGAGGGUCUUCGAGCCGUCGCUAUUACCGAACCUAUUACUGGAGACGGAUCCAGCUCCCGGAUGUAUCCCCUACGGACGCGUUCGACAUCGAAGGGCGAGAUAGGGUGACCGACGAUGAGGAUGGGGAAUGCAGUUAGCGCAGUAGCGCCGAACCAGUGCUCAUGCCACUUUGCGGCGGAGGCCGCGGGGGACGUGGGAGGAGGAUGGUUGGCGGCAGGACGACCGAGCAGUGACCGUUUGCCAAAUUGAAUGGGGGCCCGUGGAGGCCCUGAAGGCUGAAAGAUCAAUUUCGAGACCCAUUGACCGUGCCGCGGAGUGGAUUACUACAGCGGGC